rnacentral:rRNA from 1 species
AGCGAACGCUGGCGGCAGGCCUAACACAUGCAAGUCGAACGAAGCCUUCGGGCUUAGUGGCGGACGGGUGAGUAACACGUGGGAACGUACCUUUUGGUUCGGAACAACUCAGGGAAACUUGAGCUAAUACCGGAUGAGCCCUUAGGGGGAAAGAUUUAUCGCCGAAAGAGCGGCCCGCGUUAGAUUAGCUAGUUGGUGAGGUAAAGGCUCACCAAGGCAACGAUCUAUAGCUGGUCUGAGAGGAUGAUCAGCCACACUGGGGCUGAGACACGGCCCAGACUCCUACGGGAGGCAGCAGUGGGGAAUCUUGCGCAAUGGGCGAAAGCCUGACGCAGCCAUGCCGCGUGAAUGAUGAAGGUCUUAGGAUUGUAAAAUUCUUUUACCAGGGAUGAUAAUGACAGUACCUGGAGAAAAAGCCCCGGCUAACUUCGUGCCAGCAGCCGCCGUAAGAC